AUUGAACGCUGGCGGCAGGCCUAACACAUGCAAGUCGAACGAGGGGCGGACGGGUGAGUAAUGUGUAGGAACCUGCCUGAAGGAGGGGGAUAACUACUGGAAACGGUAGCUAAUACCGCAUACCAUCAGAUGUGCCCUGAUGGGAUUAGCUAGUUGGUGGGGUAACGGCUCACAAAGGCGACGAUCAAUAGCUGGUCUGAGAGGAUGAACAGACACACUGGAACUGAGACACGGUCCAGACUCCUACGGGAGGCAGCAGUGGGGAAUAUUGCACAAUGGGCGCAAGCCUGAUGCAGCAACGCCGCGUGUAUGAAGAAGGCCUUCGGGUUGUAAAGUACUUUCAGUGGGGAGGCGUUACCCACAGAGGAAGCACCGGCUAACUACGUGCCAGCAGCCGCGGUAAUAC
rnacentral:rRNA from 1 species